rnacentral:rRNA from 1 species
CCAGGCGGUCAACUUCACGCGUUAGUUCGUUACUGAGUCAGUGAAGACCCAACAACCAGUUGACAUCGUUUAGGGCGUGGACUACCAGGGUAUCUAAUCCUGUUUGCUCCCCACGCUUUCGUGCAUGAGCGUCAGUACAGGUCCAGGGGAUUGCCUUCGCCAUCGGUGUUCCUCCGCAUAUCUACGCAUUUCACUGCUACACGCGGAAUUCCAUCCCCCUCUACCGUACUCUAGCUAUGCAGUCACAGAUGCAGUUCCCAGGUUGAGCCCGGGGAUUUCACAACUGUCUUACAUAACCGCCUGCGCACGCUUUACGCCCAGUAAUUCCGAUUAACGCUUGCACCCUACGUAUUACCGCGGCUGCUGGCACGUAGUUAGCCGGUGCUUAUUCUUACGGUACCGUCAUUAGCCCUCUUUAUUAGAAAAGGCCGUUUCGUUCCGUACAAAAGCAGUUUACAACCCGAAGCCUUCAUCCUGCACGCGGCAUGGCUGGAUCAGGCUUUCGCCCAUUGUCCAAAAUUCCCCACUGCUGCCUCCCGUAGAGUCUGGGCCGUGUCUCAGUCCCAGUGUGGCUGGUCGUCCUCUCAGACCAGCUACAGAUCGAAGGCUUGGUGAGCCUUUACCUCACCAACUACCUAAUCUGCCAUCGGCCGCUCCAUUCGCGCAAGGUCUUGCGAUCCCCUGCUUUCAUCCGUAGAUCUUAUGCGGUAUUAGCACAGCUUUCGCUGCGUUAUCCCCCACGAUUGGGCACGUUCCGAUGUAUUACUCACCCGUUCGCCACUCGCCACCAGGAUUGCUCCCGUGCUGCCGUUCGACUUGCAUGUGUAAGG